CACGACGUGAAAAGCUUCUACUAUCAGCUGUAAACCUACUACAAGAUGAACGCCAACUUUUUCCUCGCUGUUGCCUUGGUCUGCCUGGCAGUCUCCACCACCACUGCAACGCCCCAAAAGAGGGCAACGUGCACGUUUGGGGGAGACGCUGCGUGUGAGGCCCAUUGUUACCUUCUGAACAGACAGGGAGGCUGGUGUGACAGUCAUAAUGUCUGCAACUGCAGAUCGGAGACUAUCAUAGGUUGAUCUCCCGAAAGACCAGGGAAUUUACAGCCUUGAGAUGAAACAUUUUGUCAAGAGGAAGGAACUUUUAAUUGAUAUUUCCUGUAUACUAUAUUAUAAUAAAAUAGUUAUGUUGAUAAGUU